UACAUAACAUAACGCUAAUUAAAUUUCUUUAAAUAAAACAGGUAUUAGUAAACCUACUUUAAAACCUAACCUAGUGGCAGCUUAUGGUGAUGGCAGUGACUCGGACACCGAACCUGAACCACUGGAUGUUCUCCAACCUGUGCAAAAUCCUCUUAAAGCAUGGGAGAUGAAGCUAACAGACUUAAAAAAGAUGGCUUGCUUACUGUGUAAACGUCAGUUCCCAAACAAGGAUGCUCUUACGAGACACCAAAAACUCUCCGACUUGCAUAAGCAAAACAUGGAGGCUUUACGAAGAACCAUAGACACACAAGAGGUAGUGGAAAAGGAUGAGAGAAAGCCCUUUUGAACAGUAUAAACGAAGAUAUAGGAGUUAAAACUGUAGCACUAGCCAGAAAGUUGAGGAUUGGGUUGAACUAAUCGGAGAACGUACAAUAUUGUCCAGAGAGAAGAAGGAAAAAAAGACUAACAGGUGCUGAGCUAGGAAUGGAAGAAACCAAAUGUGCAGUCGGUAACUUUCAUAAAGAAGAAAUCUAUGUAAGACACACAUAAUGUGUUGCUAUCAUUUUUAUUUUCUGACUUGAUUCAUUCCUCUUCUUGUUCACUGUAAUAUACCAUCUUGCAUACGUGUAAUCAUGCAGAUUUUUGAAAUGUAUAAAGUUCUUUUGUAUCUUAAAAUCACAAAGUGUUCAAGUUAUUCUCUGAAAAACGUAGAUUAAUUAUCAACAACUGAAAUUCCUUCCAAAUCCAAUUUCAUUUCAGGUUACCAGCAGUAAGCGAACUAGGCAUUCAUGAAUUAUCAAAUGAUAUAAAUUAACAACUGUGAUGGAACCAACUGGUAUUGCUGCCACCCCUGUAAUGGCUUGAUUUUAUCAUAGAAUGUUACUCUACUAGUGUAGAGUUUUAAUCAGAAAGUUACAUUUUUAAAAUUUACUCACCAAGAUUAAUGUUUCCAUUUGCAUCGUUUUGUGUUUGUUUGUUUAUGGAACCAUAUUAGUCACCACUACCAAUAGAUGUAAAAGAAAAAAAAAAGAUUAUUUAUAGGCAUUACGGUAAUCAUAAGUUCAAAUGAUAUGGCCUCAGUAAUGAGUAUAGAUGAUUAAAUAUACAGUUCUUGCAUAUAAAGGUUAAGAAUGUAUUUUUACACCGUUUAAAUACUCUCUGUCUCAGUAAUAUUUUAUGGCUAUAUUCCCGAUAAUAUGUGCUGAGGUUAAGAUUACUCCUACAGCUAUAUACUAAGCUGCUAGCAAUGUCAAAUCUUGUUAAUAAAUGUACGACAAUACAAAAUAAACAAGAUUUAUGUAUAAUAAAUAUUCUAACCAAUAAUGAAAGUAAUAUUAAAGAAAACAAAAGUGUAUGUUAUUGGUGUAAACUGAUAAUAUGGUGUUAACUCAUUGUUUUUCACCAUGUUGCCGGUGUCCAUUUUCCUCAAGCUCGCAAAAACAUGAUGGAAAAAAAUUUGGAAGAUGAUGAUUUAGUCUUUGGCAAGACAAUCAAUAAAGCAAAUAUAGAAUCCAAAUUAAAUGCAAGUAAUGCUUUAUUUUGCAGCCAAUCUUUUAUACCAAUUGUAAACAUUUCAGAAAAAUUAUGAAGAAUAUUGUAUUUGUAGAUUUCUCACAAAUUGCCAUCUAAUCAACGUGUAGUUAGUUAGUUGUUGUUUUUUUCUACUUCUGUAUAAUAAACACAUAUUUAAUAUUCU
rnacentral:lncRNA from 1 species